AAUUCAAUAAAUAUUACAGGUGCCCGCAAGGGAGAAUAGGGAACCGGGUGAGAAUCCCGGACGGACCCGCCACUGUAAAUAGGUAGCUGAUACCAAAGCCACUUCAUCUGGGGGAAGGCGGUAUUUAGCAGUGACCUUAAGUCAGGAGACCUGCCUGUGAUAGUUUUGUGUC
rnacentral:ncRNA from 2 species